UAGAAUUAAUUGAUUUUUUAAUGAAUUAAUUCUUCCUAAUACAAAAGGAUAGUUAAUCUUUCACUGUGUCUGUCUAAUCAGAUAUUUCAGUGUAUUCAUUCAAUAUCCUUUGAUUUUUAGAUGAAUUUUGUUUGGUAGAACGAACUGAACGAGUUGGCUGAUUGUCGACCAACAAGCGGACUUCGUGCAGCCGCGUUUCGGUAAACGUCGUAUGGCGCACAUGUCGUAGGGCUCAUGCUGUACUUUCGUGUGUUAUUACGAUACUGUAUUUCUCUCAUCUCUAAUUUGAGGACUAAUAUCAGCUCUGUUUGUCGCCAGUCCCCUUAACUUGAGUAUCCUACCCUCAGAGACGUUUGAAGGCAAUGCCGGAACAGCAGUUCCGAGGCGUGCCUAGGAUAAGGAUAACUGAGAGUCAAUUAUGACUAAUGUUUUUUGCUGGUGCCCGAAACGUGAGAAGUGAAGAUGAUUUGUUUAGAAGUAUGGAAGUCGCUACUGAAUUAUUGCAACGUGGUUUUGCUUUCGUAUUGCGCGACCUAUUAAGCGAGCAAGCUUUUCUAAUGAGUGUGCUCCUUUAAACGGAAAUUCAUAUUUAAUGAUACUUUUUGAUGACCGCCUUAUAGACAAAGCAUAAUUUCAGUUAUUCUAUAACGAUUAUGAGACAAAAGAUGCAUGGAGUAACGACAAGUAUAAUCCUCUUGAUCCACACAAAUUAUGUGACAGUGAAAUAUGUAGUAGAUUUUCGAGUAUUGCUAAUCUAUAGCCUAUAGGAAGAAUUCGUUGUUUUGUGUGAGAGAUGGGAAAAUGUACUGAAACGCAGUAAUUGCCUCUGGUGAGGCAUAUUAAACCACGCUCUACCACGUUAAGCUCUGCAUGGACUCGUUUAGAUGUUAGUUACAUCAUCAGUGGACACCCGAAAGUGUUAGAAGUCGCUCUACGACGCAGUCCUUACUAUAUAUACAGAAGGGAUCGCGGGUCAAUGGUCACCUGUCGUGGCGUAUAAUGAUUACUUGACUCGCGCGAAAUGGUUUCCGAGCAACCCAAUAGAACCGAAGCUAAAAGACAUCAGCCACGGGACUCGCUUCAAUAUCGGGAAGCGACACAAGACUCUCAAUCGCAGGAAUCGAGUUUAAAUCCAAGGCGAAACAGCCCGCGCCAACUGAGCAACAGGAUGAAAUGUUCGCUCAGUGAGAACUCCAGUAGUGAUAUAGGCGGUUCUGGUACAAUAAAGAACUCACAGCCACGGUCACAAACGCCCGGAAAUACGCCCACGUCAGAAGGCAAUCAAAAGAACCGCAUCAAUUUGGACGAAGUCAUCAAUAUCAUGUCCUCACGAGCUGAAAUCAACAGUCCAUUACAAUAUAUGGAUAGAGGCACAGCCGACGCCGGCGGUAACGUGCGCAGCACUGCCACGAAAAAGACUUCAGUUCUUCCACUGCGUAUUUAUAAAGAGUUACCAGUUGUCCCACUCGCCGAAUUCAAGCAUCCAGAUUUUCCUAGUGAAGAAAUGCUAACUGCAUUAAUGAAAUUGAUCGUCUUGUUUUGGAUCCCGCCGUCCUAACCAACAGCAACCAAAACCUAUUCGUACGAUGUCAUGGUACGCCAUCGCCCAUGUAGGUUGCUUCAUGACUUUGACAAUAGCCGUUCUGCUGGUCAUGAUUUUCACCGACAUUUCAAAGCCUGACCCGUCAACUAAAACUUUCAUGGAGCCUUUGCCACCCCUGAACUGGUCAAUAUAAACGAAAUAAUACCAGUCGGCCAUAUGUGCUGUCUCGAAGAAAUAACUCAACUUUGCAUUGGAAGAAUACUGAAUCGCAAAGACUUUUCUGCACAUUUUUAAUCCUGUUUUAUAAUACAUAUUAAGAUAAAUUAAUAUAUUACGAGAGCAUACGCCGUUACGUGUUAGAUACAUUGUUGUUAAUAAGCACAAUAACCGUGUUUUAUAACAAGGCGAGGAAAAUAACACUGAUGUUAUCCUCAACAGCAGGCAGUUUUACUACAAGCAUGUGGCAACAGCCUUUCCUUAAAGAUCAUCGCAUAUUGUUCUACAUUUAACUGUAUACCUUCGAUACUGCCUUCGAAAGCAUUAACAGUUUCGAAAAGGAAACGCAUUACUGUGAACAGCAACUAGUGGAACAGCAGCUAGGUAACGAAAAAAGCAGUCGCAGAGUUAGUCCUGCUCUUAGCACGGUACACGCCCACAAUUUUGUAGAUUGAUAAAAAGUUACACAAAAAGUCUCACAAAAAGUGCUAUCGUCGAUCAAGAUUCCUACAACCAUCUUUUGGAUUUGAGCACUUAGGAGCUCUGCGACAGUUAAAGAUUGCAGCGUUCAGCUUGCAAUACUCUAAAGGCACGGCCUGUACAUGUCAUAAGAGCGGAUGCAAAGGAUACCCUACAUGCUGAUGAGCGUAAACUAUAUCAGACAACACAAAGGUAGAUUGCGAAAGGAACAUUUUGUGCAAAUUUUCUCUCAGGCUCUCUGUCAUGUCAUGAAAAUAGUACAUUUGUUGUAUUAAUGUACAAAAAGGUAUCAAAAGACUCACACAAUAGGUUCCAUUGCAGUCGAUUUGUUGUUUACGAGUAAGAUAUACGUACCAGGUGUUGCUGAAAAGUUUACUCUAAAGCCUUUUUUUAUCUAAGAAGCAACUGAAGUACCCAAAGAUUCUGCAGAUUUUCGAAGUUACACUGACGCAAACGACAACACGAAGAACUUCUAUAGAAAGAACAUCUAUGUGCCAGCUAUAGUAAAUGCCCUAUUGCAACUCGUUAAACUGUUCUAGAUGAAGCCGUGUAAUCUUUAAACGUGGCAAUUUAUUUAAGAAGUGAAGAAUACCUACUGAUUUUUAGCGUUCGCUGAAUCAGCUUGCUAUAUGAGAAACAAUGCGGUUAAAAAAAUAAAAAGUCGUUAAAGGAUAAAAUGAGCGCUCAGAAGAAGC